rnacentral:misc_RNA from 1 species
GUGAAUCAUCAAAUUUUUGAACGCAAAUUGCACUCUCUGCUGAUAGGAGGCCUAUUUGAGUUUCAGCCUAAAAAAAAUCGACAUAGUUGCUUUGUCGCGGUGACAUUCGUCGGAAUUUGGGUCAUCUUAAACCUUCGGGUUUUAAGCGGCUUAAAAUUUUCUUUACGAUUCCACGAAAGUUUCUGAUAUUUUACUUCUUACACGUUUAAGGUAUCGAUCUUUAUUAAACGUUGCGGUUGCGUUGGAUCACGUCCAUAAAGAUUUC